rnacentral:rRNA from 1 species
UACAGAGGUCCCAAGCGUUUGUUCGGAUUCAUUGGGGCGUAAAGGGUGUGUAGGUGGCGCGCUAAGUCGGGGUGUGAAAUUUCGGAGCUUAACUCCGAAACUGCAUUCGAUACUGGCGUGCUUGAGGACUGGAGAGGAGACUGGAAUUCAUGGUGUAGCAGUGAAAUGCGUAGAGAUCAUGAGGAAGACCAGUGGCGAAGGCGGGUCUCUGGACAGUUCCUGACACUGAGACACGAAGGCCAGGGGAGCGAACGGG